rnacentral:rRNA from 1 species
CCUACGGGAGACAGCAGUGGGGAAUAUUGCACAAUGGGGGAAACCCUGAUGCAGCGACGCCGCGUGAGUGAAGAAGUAUCUCGGUAUGUAAAGCUCUAUCAGCAGGGAAGAACAUGACGUUACCUGACUAAGAAGCCCCUGCUAAAUACGUGCCAGCAGCCGCGGUAAUACGUAGGGCGCAAGCGUUCUCCGGAUUUACUGGGUGUAAAGGGAGUGUAGACGGCUGUGCAAGUCCGGAGUGAAAGUCCAUGGUUUAACCAUGGUACUGCUCUGGAAACUGUGGAGCUUGAGUGCGGGAGGGGCAGGCGGAAUGCCUAGUGUAGCGGUGAAAUGCGUAGAGAUUAGGAGGAACACCGGGGGCGAAGGCGGCCUGCCGGACCGUAACUGACGUUGAGGCUCGAAAGCGUGGGGAGCAAACAGGAUUAGAUACCCGGGUAGUC